rfam:Escherichia coli str. K-12 substr. MG1655, complete genome.
UAUGGCCGGAGCAGGAGUCCGUGCAGAAAACCUGCACCACUUCCUCGAUGCCGGAGUGCUGGAAGUCCAUAGCUCCGCGGGAGCGUGGCAAGCCUCACCGAUGCGUUAUCGUAAUCAAGGAUUGUCCAUGUCAUCAGAUGAACACGCGGACGAGUAUUCGCGUUAUAUCGUAGACGGGGCGGCGGUUGCUGAAAUGAAAGGAAUCAUUGAACGCCAUCAGGCCAAAUGAUUUUUACCGUUGCAUCAUGUCGCCCAAUAUGAUGCUUGCUCGUACCAGGCCCCUGCAAUUUCAACAGGGGCCUUUUUUU